rnacentral:rRNA from 1 species
UACGGAGGGGACUAGCGUUGUUCGGAAUUACUGGGCGUAAAGCGCACGUAGGCGGAUUUGUAAGUCAGGGGUGAAAUCCCGGGGCUCAACCUCGGAACUGCCUUUGAUACUGCAAAUCUCGAGUCCGGAAGAGGUGAGUGGAAUUCCUAGUGUAGAGGUGAAAUUCGUAGAUAUUAGGAGGAACACCGGUGGCGAAGGCGGGUCUCUGGGCCGAUACUGACGCUGAGGAGCGAAAGCGUGGGGAGCGAACAGG